CAUCCCAGCUGGAGAAGAUUCUCAGGGCUGAGGUGGAGGAGGUCGGGCCUCAGCCGGGCUCAGAGUGGAACUGCUGGUCCUCCUGUCACAGGAGGGAGGGGCAGUGGGACGGGAAGAGAGGGCCUUGAGAUCAAGCCAUGCCCUGCUGAAGCCUGGCAGAGGGGCUGUGCCUCUGGGCAGCUGGUGUGAGCUGUCGUCUCGUGCAGCUGGUCUAGGAUGGGGCAGAGGCUCUGCCUUGACCUCUCCCACCCCUGGUGCCAUUUGCCCCUCCACUCCAGGUGAGCACAGCUGGAGCAGCAGCUACCUCGAGGACUGGUGGCCUUUGAGGUUUUCCCGAUGGACUAUUCAGCUUCUACCAGCGGGGCCCCGUGACUGCACUGCCUCCUGGGAGCUGCUACUGGGAGAGGCAGCGGUACAAUCCCCCCUGCCUAGAGUCGACAAGGGGCUUCCCCCACUGAGCUGAGACAAGGCCUUCUGUCUGCAUCAUGAAGCUGCGAUCGCAGCUUCCUACAGCUAUGAAACUCCCAGCUCAACCCACCCAGACUCAGUUCUGUUCCCUGAGACCUUCAGUCACAAUGGCACACCUCGCCUGGUGUGGAACCUCCUGCUGUUUACAGUGAUGAGCCCAGGGUGAGCAGAGACAAAGCACCAAGACACGCUCGUCAGAGAAGGGCUGGGCAGGACAGACACAGGCGGACAGGGUGGCCAGAGAGGCCGUGAGAAACGGACAAAACAGAGGGGGUGCAUUUAUCAUCCCUUCCUCAGCACCUGACGCCAGGCAGGCCCUGUGCCUCCCCAGUCCAACUCUUCCAGGCAUGGCAGAUGCUUGAUAAUUCCUGCGACUGACCCAAAGGCUUCACAGAUUCCGGCUGUGGGCUCCUUGGAGGAAGAGCAGAGGUGAGGCGCUUCU
rnacentral:lncRNA from 1 species